rnacentral:rRNA from 1 species
UUAAAGGGCCGCGGUAUUCUGACCGUGCGAAGGUAGCAUAAUAAUUAGUCUCCUAAUUAGAGGCUUGUAUGAAUGGUCGGACAAGAUGGAAACUGUCUCUAUACAAAAAAUAAAAUUUAAUAUUUAAGUAAAAAAGCUUAAAUGUUAUGGAGGGACGAUAAGACCCUAUAAAGCUUUAUAAUACCUUUCUUUUUUAUAAAAUUUUUUGUUGUUAACAUAUUUUAGAAUUUGUAUUAUUUUACUGGGGCGGUAAAAGUAUAAUAAAUAACUGCUUUUAUUUUGUGUAACAAUUUUAGUUGAUGAUAAAUUGAUCCAUUAUUAAUGAUUAUAAGAACAAGUUACUUUAGGGAUAACAGCGUAAUUUUUUUUGAGAGUUCUUAUCGAAAAAAGAGUUUGCGACCUCGAUGUUGAAUUAAGGUUGCCUUAAGGUGCAGCAGUUUUA